UUGGGCAAACUCUCCAAACUCUACUAGCUGGACCUGGCAGACAAUCAGUGGAUUGGAACAAUUCCAAUUUCGACCUACCAUUCCCCUGGCUUAGACCUCCUGUUGAAGGCUAAACACUUCCAUUUGAACAAGAACCAGCUUUCAGGUUUCACACCGGCCAAACUUUUCAGCUCUAAGAUGGCACUGAUACA